AAAUUUGAAUUUUGUCCAAGAAAUAAAGUAGCAUUGGAACGCUCUAAUGUCGUCAAAUGCGCGGUAUCUGUUGUGCUAGUUAAAAUCCCACAUUGUCCAUUCAUUCCAUUCGUCUUCUCCCCGCCAAACAGAGCUUCCUAGCUUUACGCAACCAUUGCUCUUCUUUGGUUUCAUAUAUGUCUCUCAAAAACUUGAACUGUCCACCCAAAAA
rnacentral:lncRNA from 1 species